rnacentral:lncRNA from 1 species
AAGCAUCUGAAAUUGCUGAAUCACGCCUCAAGUCUGUUCUGUAGAAAUGUCCUUCAGCUUUGCACAUAAAGAAAUGCAGUGAGUUAUAACGAAAUGGCAGCUUUGGAUGCAGAAUCCAGGUCUGGAGCAAGUCAGCAUCGGCUUUAAGAGGCCUUGGGAAGACUUGCUAAUUAUCUGUGCAAAUAAAGAAGCCUUGGUCCAGAUGGAAUCAGAUCUCUGAUACCUGGCUUUUGAACCAUCAUGUGGACUACCAUCAGGUGUGGGCUUGCAGAAAAGUGUAUCAGGGAUACAGCUCAAGUUUUAGAUGAAGCUGCCAGACCAGAUGGGCUUCUGAAGAGAGCACAGAACAGACUCCUCCAGACAACAGAAAAUGCUCUACAGUGCUGGCAUUUAUCAAGAGAAGACACACAGCACAGCCUUGCAUAAAUAAUGGCACUGGACCAAGUACAGCUGAGGUGGUUGCCAGCACAACUCCAUUGAACUCAAAGGAAUCGCACCACGGGUGAGUCUGGCCCUAGGCUCAGGUCAUGGAGGACUUUAACAUGACAAUUUUCAGUAAUGCUUCAGCUGUUUGAGGUAGUUGAGUCUGGGUUUGCCUUUUGGUUGAGUACUGUAUUUUGCUUCAAAUAAAGGAGCUGAACUUCUGCUCA